AAGGUGGAUGAUGAGCGCUGGUGGCCUGUGACCAGACGGGAUGAAUUCGUGUCCAGAACUCUGAGGUCCAA